rnacentral:lncRNA from 12 species
AUGUGGUCAUCUACAUUGACCCUAAAAAUGUUUAUAGUUCAUGUUUGUUUUCUACUACACACAGACAGUUCUUCAGAUGAGUCUGUAUCUGUUGCUGUAAGAGUCAAAAAGAACAGGAGAGAAUCUACUGCCAAUGACAGAUAUUCACCUGCACCUCCCACUGAUGAUACAGAACCUGCAGUAUCAAGGCAACUGAGGGAGUCAAUUAGAGAGGUGACACAGACAGAGUCCUGGAAAAGAUUGUUUUCCAAGAGUCUGGAAAUACCUGUUUGUCGAAUUGAACAGGAAACUUUCCAGCUGGACAGAUCUUCAGAUGAGUCUGUAUCUGUUGCUGAAAAAGUCAAAAUGGCACAGAACAGUAAAAAGAUCACAGAACGGGUAAAAUCUACUGCCAAUGCUAGAGAUUCAUCUGUACCUCUCACUGAUGCUACAGAACCUGCAGUAUCUCCAGUCGUAGAGGAGGCAGAUCAGACCACAGAUGAAGCAGCAGCAGCUCUGCUGAACUUCAGUGAUUCUCCCACUGAUGCUACAGAACAUGCAGUAGCUCCUGCCGUAGAGGAGGCAGAUCAGACCACAGAUGAAGCAGCAGCAGCAGCUCAGCUGAACUUCAGUGAUUCUCCCACUGAUGCUACAGAACCCACAGUAUCUCCUGUCGUAGACGAGGCAGAUCAGACCACAGAAGCAGCAGCAGCUCAGCUGAACUUCAGUGAUUCUCCCACUGAUGCUACAGAACCCACAGUAUCUCCUGUCGUAGACGAGGCAGAUCAGACCACAGACGCAGCAGCAGCUCAGCUGAACUUCAGUGAUUCUCCCACUGAUGCUACAGAACCUGCAGUAUCUCCUGUUGUAGAGGAGGCAGAUCAGAACACAGAAGCAGCAGCAGCUCAGCUGAACUUCAGUGAUUCUCCCACUGAUGCUACAGAACCCACAGUAUCUCCUGUCGUAGACGAGGCAGAUCAGAACACAGAUGAAGCAGCAGCUCAGCUGAACUUCAGUGAUUCUCCCACUGAUGCUACAGAACCUGCAGUAUCUCCGGUUGUAGACGAGGCAGAUCAGACCACAGAUGAAGCAGCAGCAGCAGCUCAGCUGAACUUCAGUGAUUCUCCCACUGAUGCUACAGAACCUGCAGUAUCUCCUGUCAUAGAGGAGGCCAAUCAGAACACAGAUGAAGCAGCAGCUCAGCUGAACUUCAGUGAUUCUCCUGCUGAAUGGCAGAAACCUACUGCUUCUGAAGAGACUGAGAACAUGCAGUUAAUUAAAUUUCUGGAAAAUCAGUUUAAGACUAUUAACAACACCCUAAAAUCAAUUGAUUUGUCUUUAAAGAAGCUGGUGGAAAAACAGUCACAAGACACACCGCCUCAAUAUAUCUUUCUAAUUCCUGCUGAUUUUGAAAAUCCCCAGAUUAAUUCCUUAGUCAAGGAGGAGCCAGUCACAGAAGGUGGGGUAAGUACUGAGGAAGCAGAACUGUGA